CGCAGCCGCCGGGCUGUCCCGCCGGGCGCCUGCCUCUCUCCCUGGCGUGGGGGCUGGAAGUGGCUCGCCCCUGGCCUGCGAGGUGCCCUGUCCUUCCAGGGCCGAGAGCGUUCCAGGUGAGCCAACUAACAUGUUGUUAGGGCACCUGAGUGGCUCUAUAGAGAGGCCCAUGUGGUUAGGAAUUGAAGCCUCCUGCCACUAGCCAUCAAGGAACUGAAGCUGCUCCUUGUGAGGAUACCAGCUUGGAAAUGGAUCCUCCAGUCCCAGCUGACAUCUUGACUGCAGCCUCAUGAGAGACCCUGUACCAGAACCACACAGUUCUGCCACUCUUGAAUCCCUGACUCACGGAUACUCUGCAAUGAUAAAUGUUUGUGGUUUUUAAGCAACUAAGUUUUGUGGUGUUUUGUUACAUAGCAAUAGACAACUAAUACAGAACUUAUUCAAGAAAAUUCCCUGAUGAUGAUGUGCUAAAGAUGAUAAUAAUAUCAGAUAUUUUAGAGUUUUCUGCAUUAUAAUGUUUUAGAUAUCUUCCAAAACCCUUUUGAUAGCCUGAACUUUGUGGACAUCUAUCAUUAUUCUUAACUUUCCAGGCUUUGACCCUGUUUCCUCUGUUUGGAGAAUCCUUACCUUCCUUUUGAGGCAGAGGCCAUGUCUUCCUGGAGAAGCUGCAAAACAGUGCCACUGUUUACUGUUUGAUACUGCAUAAAACACCGGACAUGGACACAUGUUCUAGGUUGUGCCAAUCAGAUUCACAGCCCCAGGCUACUCCUCCUCUACUUGACCCCCAAAUGAAGGAGUGCUUCUGGAUGGAGUCAAAAGUUCUCUCUUUAUUUACUAUCAGUCCAUAGGUGGUUUCUUCUAGUCCCAUGGAUUUAAAUACCAUCUGAUAUUGAUGAAUCCAAAUUUAUAUCUCCAGCUCUGAACUCUCCUAUCAGUUCCAAACUCAUAUCUAAGAGCUUACUUGAAAGCUCAACUAAAUGGCUGAUAGCAACUCACAUUUAAUAUGUAGAAACAGAACUCUUGAUCUUCCCCAGUCUACCUUUCCUCCAGGCCUCUUGAUUGAAUAAACGACACCAUUAUCCAUUCAACUGCUCAAUCAAAAUGAGACAGAAUAGGGACGGGACUCUGCACCUCAUCCUUAACCACCAGGUCCGGCACCUCCCAGCCCAGCUAUUUUUGAAGUCAAGAUAAGCAACCUUCCAACCUCAAAACUUCCCCCAAGCAGUCGACCCAACUCCGGCAUGGGCACAAAGCCUCGAGAUGACCACUAUACUACCUUCCUGGAGUGGCGGUAGUGAGCUACACCGCCAUGUCGGACAUACAGGGCAGGCACAGAGACCACAACCCUGACGGGGCUUGCGAAGACGAUACCACCAGGAAGAGAGAAGCAGAAUGCCUCCAUCGGUGGAGAAUCAUGACGCCAGUCGGCUCCCUUCACCCCAUAAAAGACUCAGGACGACUCCCUUCGGGGAGCCAGCCAGAGAGCCACUUCUCCUGUGCUGUCUCCCCUGUGCUCAAGCAUAAGCCCCAAUAAAACCUUGUC